rnacentral:rRNA from 1 species
UACAGAGACUGCAAGCGUUAUUCGGAUUCACUGGGCGUAAAGGGUGCGCAGGCGGCCGUGUGUGUCAGGUGUGAAAGCCCGGAGCUUAACUCCGGAAUUGCGCCUGAAACUACAUGGCUAGAGCAUUGGAGAGGGUAGCGGAAUUCACGGUGUAGCAGUGAAAUGCGUAGAUAUCGUGAGGAACACCAGAGGCGAAGGCGGCUACCUGGAGCUUUGCUGACGCUGAUGCGCGAAAGCGUGGGGAGCGAUCCGG